rnacentral:misc_RNA from 1 species
CGGGUCGAUGCUGAGCGAGGAGGUGUCGGCGGCGGAGGACCCGGCGCUGUACCUGCACGUCGCGCUCACCGCCACCUUCUUCGCCGGCGUGUUCCAGGCGCUGCUGGGGGUCUUGAGGCUGGGGUUCAUCGUGGACUUCCUGUCGCACGCCACCAUCGUCGGGUUCAUGGGCGGCGCCGCCACCGUGGUGUGCCUGCAGCAGCUCAAGG